rnacentral:lncRNA from 10 species
AAAACACCUAAGUAAAACCAUUCUUGAAAGGACACAUGAACAAAUUGAACCAGUCAGAGGGGAAAGAUCAGGAUGAUGAAGUGACUCAGAAAUCAGAUUCCAUUAUGACAUUAGUCUCUGGUCACAAUUAUCUGAAGCCUUGCAGGAUGCACCAUUCCACUUCAUCCUGUCUUCAUCACAAGAAGAAAAUCAGUGGUUCCUCUGCCUUGUUCCUCCUUCCAGUGGAUUGCAUAUCCAGAUAAUGUUGAACUUGGGAGCCUUCAUGCUUUGAUCAGUAAAAUCUUGAAUGAAUGGAAGUUGACAUAAGCUAAAGGAAUCAUCUUACACCAUGACAAAAUGGAGUAAGGCUGGAUCCCCAAAUCUCCAAUGUAACAAGCCUGGAACACUUAUGUGUAGAAUGCUCAGACUAUUAGUUGAGAGAAAAAUAAAAUUCCAUUUUGUUCAA